AUGGGAGCGGGGAUGAAGCGCGCGAGGGAGGAGGAGCCAGCUGUGUCGCUGGCGCUCUCUCUCAGCACAGACUCCUCGACGUCCACCACCACCUCGGCCGACUCGACCGGUGCGCCGGCGAAGGCGGCCGCAAGGAAGAGGGCACGGCGGGGGAGGGUGGUGGCCACUUCGGGGGAGGGAGAGUUCGUCUGCAAGACUUGCGGCCGGGCCUUCGAGACGUUCCAGGGGCUGGGCGGGCACCGGACCAGCCACCUCCGUGGCCGCCACGGGCUGGAGCUCGGCGUAGGCGUCGCCAGGGCCAUCACGGAGCAGAAAAGGCAAGAGGAAAAGCAGCAGCACGACUGGCACAUCUGCGGGCUGGGCUUCGAGACGGGCCAGGCGCUCGGCGGCCACAUGCGGCGGCACCGCGAGGAGAUGGCGCUCGACCGGUGGGUCGCGCUGUCGAAUCAGGAGGCGGGGCACCAGGCCCCCGCCGACCGGCUACCGGUCUUGCUUGAGCUGUUCGUCUAG
rnacentral:rRNA from 1 species